GCAAGCCGAGCGGUAUUUAUUCUUCGGAAUAGAGAGAGCGGCGUACGGGUGCGGAACACGUGUGCAACCUGCCUUUAUCAGGGGGAUAGCCUUUCGAAAGGAAGAUUAAUACCCCAUAAUAUAUUAAGUGGCAUCAUUUGAUAUUGAAAACUCCGGUGGAUAGAGAUGGGCACGCGCAAGAUUAGAUAGUUGGUAGGGUAACGGCCUACCAAGUCAGUGAUCUUUAGGGGGCCUGAGAGGGUGAUC
rnacentral:rRNA from 1 species